AUGCUGUCAGGCACAUGGUGGGAUUUUCUUGGAGUGUCCUGUGCAGGGCCAGAAGUUGGACUCAGUGAUCCUGAUGGGUCCCUUCAAAUCCAGCAUAGUUCAAAUCAGUGUCUCAGAGAAAGUGUAACAAGGAAGAUUCAGACAAGAGCAAAAGUGGGAUUUUUAACAACAGAAGCAUUCAGUCACUGCAGCAAUAUAUCCAGGUACCCAGCAGCUUGUGACCCAGAUGCAGCAUUGCAGACCCCUAAGGGUGAUGACAAAGAGCAUAUGAAUUGGAGCAGGACAGCAAAUCAGCGAGACCUAUAUACUUCAGAUAGAUUUCAUUAUUCCACUACAGAAGGAACCUAA
rnacentral:lncRNA from 1 species